GACUCCCGGCAACAGAUAUCUCGGCUUUUGCAUUGAUGAAGAAUGUAGCGAAAUGUGAUACUUGGUGUGAAUUGCAGAAUCCCAUGAACCAUUGAGUCUUUUAACGUAAUUUACGCCCUAGGCCAUCGGGCUGAGGGGAUGCCUGCUUGGGUGUCA